UUCAGGGUUUUUUCAGUGUACAUUUCAGAAAUUAUAUUAUGUAUAAAUGUAUUUCUGGAAAAUGCAAUUAAUAAACAUUACCGAUGUGAGAUGGACACAGCUUUUGGCAUGACCCAGAAUAGGAAAUAACUGAAUGGGACAAACUCUGAUCUCUGUCCCACACGAGUGGAAAUGCUGAUAAAAAGCCACUGUUGGCUGUGUACAUAAACUUCUGUGCUCCGUACUUACUUUGAAAAAACUGACCGUUCCAAAGCAGCACCUGCAGGAAAAUGUCAACCCCCGCCACACCGGUAAUGAAUUUACACAAGGUGAAAGUUCAAAGGAAAACAAACAAACAAUAUCCUUCCCCAUUGGUCUGCUUUACUGGCCUCACACACACACUUUGUCCUUGGGAGGCCGCUCAUUAGGUUGCAUGCGCCUGAGGCAACUGCUAAAACAAGCAAACGCUCCAGGCCCUUAUGGCUGCUAACGGAGCAUGCAACACAUUAGCGAGGGGUAGAAAUGGAAACUGAAGAGGUGAGGGUCUGUAUGUGUCUGUGUGAGCUGAGAACGGCAAUGUUUCGACUUAUUGAAUCCCUCCAUCACUAUUCAUUAACCUGAAGCAGCAUGUGCCCCUGGCUGGUUAGUGUAUGCAACAUGAGACUGAUCACACAAGCCGGGCUAUUAGUUCUCAUGGUGCUUUUUUCUUCUGACAAAGGAGACGGCGUUUCAGAGCUGAAUGGAUUAGGUCCCCUGCAAUCUGCCCUACAGAGACAGUAAUGCAAUAUUCCUUUUUAAAUUCCUUCCGCCAUUUUCUUCAUCAUGCACACAUACACACCUGCUGCAAGAAACACAAAACACCUACAGGCACCACUUUUCAGAGCGGAUUUUGCACAGGUGGUAGAUAAGGGGACACCAAGGUUGUCCAACAUUGAACCGGCUAACUGCUUUAUGUUUUUGCACCACUCCCGGCUCCUUCCUAUGUGAACCUGUCAAAUGCUUUUUUUUUUUAAUUUAUCUCACACACACCCGCAGCUGCCAUUUCACACACACUACCAUGCAAUGAGAGGGAUUGCGGCACACACAUGCAGCAGAAAACACAAUGACAGGGGCAGCCCUGUCGGUACUAAUAUCAAGCCUCGGUCUGCAGGAUAAAGAGUUUAAUCCCUCACAGGCAUGAGGGGCUGAGAUGAGAUUGUAUAGAGCCAGUGUGUGGCAGAGUCCGACGAGCAGUCGUGUAGGAUGUGUGCAGGAUAAGAGCCAUGAGUCACCCAGCUAUUAGAGAACAAACUUUCAUGCAGAUGGCCACCAGAAGGUCCAACCCAGAUGGUUCUGUCCAACUUUUUCUCCCUUUCACCUCAGAACUCUUUCUUCCGACUGUCCUCUGAUCCUCCGGUCCCUCCUCUGUCUGUGAUUCUCUGCUGAAAGGAGUUGGAUCGCAGCACAAACAAGUUGUGAUCAGGUGCAUUGCUCCCUCAGAGGACGUGAAUGUGAAUGAUCAACCCGGCUUAAUUGACCAGCUUAACCACGUCCAAGAUGGAAUAAAGAGCAAGACGAGGCAGGACUCUGAAGCGGGCUAGAAAGAUUGCAGCCGACCCCUCUCACCACGGACAUAAAAUAGGGCGAGGAAAGAGAUGGUGAUGUGGCUACACAAGUGUGGAAUCAGAAGAAGGUUGACGAAACACCAGGCUCAUGCACAAAGACAGCUCUUACAUCAGGGGCUUAGAAAACUUGUUAUUGUGACCAGUUCAGGUUCAGGAUCCCGAUGUCAUUGGACGAUACGAAGGGGGGGGGCACCCCAAAACCUGAGGAUCAGCGACCUUCUUCACAGCAAUCACUUGAUGAGUGAUGUUUUGUUUUAAGCGCCAUGAAUAAUGGAGAGGUCUUUAGUUACUGAUUGUCAUGUCAGGUUUUCAAGCUUUGGUAUGUAGGCAAAAUUUGAAUAUCCAAUUCAUUUAUUUGAACUGUCUUGAAUACUUAUAGUAACUUUAAA